CGAUCGGGUUGGACGUCUACAAAUUAAUUAGACCACAGCUUAGGAAGCAUAUAACACGGGACACGAAAGCAAGGUCUUCCUUUCGUUCUAAAUGACAGAGUUCAAACGUCCCUUUUUUGUUUGGUUCUUUCUGGAAUACAGGAGUUAACGGAUCCAUUUUCCUCCGUGACCACAUAUGCUCUUCGUGAGGACCCCGCUCCCUGUUUCCCCAGGGGACCCUGACCAGAGCCUGUCCUCUCCAGCAAUGGCAUCUCCAGGCAGAGAGAGGCGAGACAGCACAAGAAAUCCUAGUUCAACUGAGACGACAUGGGUAGCACAGGUUAAAAAUUAAAUUCUGGCUGAGUUUUAAACCUAAAUGGACUAGGAGAAAAUAUUCACACUCUAAUACUGAUGGUCAAUUUGGAUGGAAAAAUGAGUCCCUGGCAGUUUACAGAGGACACAAUGGAGGAGAGAAAUAUACAGCAGUACUGAAGACAAUGCAGACACAUCUUUUCCUCCUCUUAAAAAUUUACAGUUUCUGAGAUUUUAUCACUCUGGUUCCGUUUACUUUGAAAAAACCACCAUAUAGAUGUUUUAGUAAUGUCCCACCCUUAUGGUUGCACAAUAUGUCAAAAGUACAAUAAUAAUUCAAGCUUUUCCUAAUAAUGCAUUUAUGU